UACGAAGGGGGCUAGCGUUGCUCGGAAUCACUGGGCGUAAAGGGUGCGCAGGCGGCCGUGUGUGUCAGGUGUGAAAUACCUCGGCUUAACCGAGGAAUUGCGCCCAAAACUACUGGGCUUGAGGGAGUUAGAGGUGAGCGGAACUCACGGUGGAGCGGUGAAAUGCGUUGAUAUCGUGAGGAACACCGGAGGCGAAAGCGGCUCACUGGGGCUUCACUGACGCUGAGGCACGAAAGCUAGGGGAGCAAACGGG
rnacentral:rRNA from 1 species